AGAACGAACGUUAGCGGCGCGCCUAACACAUGCAAGUCGAGCGAGAAAGGGGCAACCCCGGUAAAGCGGCGCACGGGUGAGUAACACGUAGGUAAUCUACCCUCGGGUGGAGGAUAACCUUCCGAAAGGAGGGCUAAUACUGCAUGAGACCACGACCUCGAAAGGGGAUGGGGUCAAAGCCGGCCACUUUACAAAAGCUGGCGCCUGAGGUUGAGCCUGCGGCCCAUCAGCUAGUUGGUAGGGUAACGGCCUACCAAGGCGAAGACGGGUAGCUGGUCUGAGAGGAUGAUCAGCCACACUGGAACUGAGACACGGUCCAGACUCCUACGGGAGGCAGCAGUGGGGAAUCUUGCGCAAUGGGCGAAAGCCUGACGCAGCGACGCCGCGUGAGUGAUGAAGGCCUUCGGGUUGUAAAGCUCUGUGGGCGGGGACGAAGUAAGGGUUGGCUAAUAUCCAACCUGAUGACGGUACCCGUUUAGCAAGCACCGGCUAACUCUGCGCCAGCAGCCGCGGUAA
rnacentral:rRNA from 1 species